ACGUAGGUGGCAAGCGUUGUCCGGAAUUAUUGGGCGUAAAGCGCGCGCAGGCGGUCCUUUAAGUCUGAUGUGAAAGCCCACGGCUCAACCGUGGAGGGCCAUUGGAAACUGGGGGACUUGAGUGCAGAAGAGGAAAGUGGAAUUCCACGUGUAGCGGUGAAAUGCGUAGAGAUUUGGAGGAAUACCGGUGGCGAAGGCGGCAUCCUGGACCGACAUUGACGCUGAUGAGCGAAAGCUAGGGGAGCAAACGGGA
rnacentral:rRNA from 1 species